rnacentral:rRNA from 1 species
UACGGAGGGUGCAAGCGUUAUCCGGAUUCACUGGGUUUAAAGGGUGCGUAGGCGGGCAGGUAAGUCCGUGGUGAAAUCUCUGAGCUUAACUCCGAAACUGCAUUCGAUACUGCCGUGCUUGAGGACUGGAGAGGAGACUGGAAUUUACGGUGUAGCGGUGAAAUGCGUAGAUAUCGUAAGGAAGACCAGUGGCGAAGGCGGGUCUCUGGACAGUUCCUGACGCUGAGUGAGCGAAAGCCAGGGGAGCAAACGGG